rnacentral:pre_miRNA from 1 species
UUCCUAUAUUUUCUAUUUUAGUAAAAAAUAUUUCAGUAAAUAGCAGUAUCGUGGAUAGGGAACUAUACUAGCGACCUACCUAAUUUUAUUGUAGAAAUUUUCAGGAUCAAUGAUUGGAC